UUGACUCAUUAUGUGACUUAGAGCAAAUUGCUUGUGUGAAUGGUUGAUAAGUACUUCAGUCAGCAUGUUCAUAAAAGUGUGAGGUGUAAUUAAUAUUAGUCUGGCAGCCAUUCACUUCCAACUAUUUAUGCCAUUUAUUCUGUGUAGAAUACAUCGUAUAUAUACUACAAACCAUAACAUUAAUUUAUGUGCUGUGUUUUAUUGCAGAGCAUUGGAUACAGAUUUAGUCCCAUAUAUCCAGUAAAUGAGAGAUUCAAUUCUAUUUUGUUUAUGGAUCACUGAACAUAAAACAUUUAUUCUUGGUGAUGUUUUCAAUAAAAGAAUACCAUCAAAAUUCACAACAUCUAAUUGCAGUGGACCAAGAAUCACAUGCUUGUUAUAUAUAUUGUUCCAUCUGUUGUUUGGGAAUGUCUCAUGGAACUAAAGAAGCUUCUCCUUGCAGGCAGAAAGAGUUACACAGCAAGAGGAUCAACAUCAAAAGAUAAAAGAAGAUACGGAUAUGUGCUAGCUGGAAGAGUCAUGUUCCAAUACUUGACUUAUAGGAAAAAGAGUAUGCUGAAGGAAUAAUGAAGUCUGACAUGCUUGUGCUUCAUUGAUCUUCCAGUGAACAACUGCUUCAGAGUACUGAGUGACAAGUAGUCUUCAAGAAAUAACACAAGAUAGCUCCAUUUGGAGAGAAUGGAUGACUAGCACUGACACCUGUUACUGCUCAGCUACUUUUGUCUCUGAAAUAAAAGUGACAAUUGGUUUAACAAAA